rnacentral:misc_RNA from 1 species
UUGCAGUGUGAUAAAGUGCAACCUGUCCUUGGUUUCCAGGCACAGGUACAGCUUGUAGAACAAGCGCAUCGACGUGGUACCUUUGCCGCAGGAAAUUUCUUCGAUGCUUUCAUCGUCGCUAUCGAUUCCCACGAAUCGCAACCAAAACUUCAAAUGCUUCAGAUUUACUCUGCAGAGAGCAGGGUCUUGGGUAACGACGAUCGUGCCCAACUGAUCGCGGCUUAUUAUGUCGUAGCUAUGCAGAAUCUGUGCGAGAAGCGAGCCGUCCCUGGUGUAGUAACCAAACACCUCGGGCGUUAGAUCGAUCAAGAUUCCUAGCCUCGCUUCGAUUAUUCGCCUCUGCGAAUUACAAAGCGAAUUUUUUCUUUUUCUGCGCUCGUCGCGUCGAUGUCGCUACCCUACAUGCGUGCCAUUCGAACGCGUUCCUAUCCUUUGUUUUGUCUAUUCUCUCUCUGUUUCCUUUUAUUGCUGGGAAAGUCGAUCUUCGUGAGAAAGAUCCAUUGGGAAAAGUCGCGAACGAAACGCAGCAUGGAAUGCAUCGAGAAGAACGAACGGCUCGAGGAAGUAACACAAGCGGCCGUUGUCUAACGCUCCUCUUUUCUUUCUUCUCCUUCUGCUUCUUCUUCUUCUUCUUCGUUUUCUUCUCCUUCUUCUUCUUCGAUGAGAAACAAAAGAAACGCCGUUGGAGCGAAGCUCUUUUCCACCAAGUCGGUAGGUGCAGACCACGUGUCCUCGUUUCGAGGCGUGCCGGGCAUCUCUAAUGCUACCAUAUCUAAUAGGAAGGAACGGGCUCGAUAACUUCACCUAAAAUUCUAUCUCCUAACUGUAAUCUACGUGUCUACUAUGCUUCGUGUGUUUCUCGCGUGUAUCUGCGUAUCUAGCUUCUUUCGUCUUCGUUUGUUUCUUCCUUCUUUCCGCUACUAUCCUUUCCGUUUCUUAGAUCCAACCUUCCUCUUGCUCUCGCUCUUGCUUUUAUUCUUGCCCUCCGCGUUUUACAACACGUCUGUCCAUUUGUUUGUGUAUGUUUGACGUACGUGUAAUACUCUCGAUUUUACCACUCUACAUAUAUAUAUAUAUAUAUAAACGCGUAUCCACGCGAUAAUUUUCGCUCGUGUUCUCUUUCGCGUUCACUCAAGCUUUCGCUCCCUUUUCCACCCUCUCGGUGUUCCUCCAUUUCAUCCUAUCUGUUUCACUCGCACUACGCACUAAUUUUAAACUAACACGUCGCUAUACGCAAACUACUUCACCGCUAAUAUUUAGCAACAUGGACAUUGUUAUUUUGCUUCAUUUACUUGCUCUUUCCCUUCCCCUAAACUGGCCGACGAU